rnacentral:rRNA from 1 species
CAGUAGCCGCGGGAAUACGAAGGGGGCUAGCGUUGCUCGGAAUGACUGGGCGUAAAGGGCGCGUAGGCGGAUUGUUUAGUUAGGCGUGAAAUUCCUGGGCUUAACCUGGGGACUGCAUUUGAUACGUAUGGACUUGAGUGGAGAAGAGGGUUGUGGAAUUUCCAGUGUAGAGGUGAAAUUCGUAGAUAUUGGAAAGAACACCGGUGGCGGAGGCGGCAACCUGGUCUUUAACUGACGCUGAGGCGCGAAAGCGUGGGGAGCAAACAGGAUUAGAUACCCCUGUAGUCCCUGUCUCUUAUAC